AUUUAUCACCAGUUAUCCAGCCAGGAAUCUGUAGUUUCGGCUUUAUUCACGUUCUGCUAUUAAAUUCAUCUAUUUUUAUAUUGCCGAUUAGAUCUAUUCCUAGUGUUGUUAUCAUAGCGUUGUGUCGAUUACUCUAGUAGUUUUCCGUCUACAAGGCUACAGUGAUCGGCUGCCUUAUAGCCAAUUUCUUUAUUACUGCAAAUCGGCCGAUUCGCUGAUAAGCUCUCUCGAGAUCGGAAACUUAGCCGAUCGUCAUUUCUGAACCUGACGCGUAUUCUUCCUUGCCAAUCAACAGGUCAGAUUGGCUGGCACGCCGCGCGAACCGCACCAGGGCAAUC
rnacentral:lncRNA from 1 species